GUCUCAGGCCGGAUCAGCCUGAAGGCGCCCGAUCUGGUCUGAUCUCGGAAGCUAAGCAGGGUCGGGCCUGGUUAGUAUCUUGGAUGGGGGACCACCUGGGAAUCCCGGGUGCUCGAGGCU
rnacentral:rRNA from 1 species